rnacentral:ncRNA from 1 species
AAUACCCUGUAUAACUGAAAUCUUAAUACUUGAGACAUUAGUAGGUUAUAUGGGGUAUU